rnacentral:rRNA from 1 species
UACGUAGGGGGCGAGCGUUAUCCGGAAUUACUGGGUGUAAAGGGAGCGUAGACGGCGAGGUAAGCCUGAAGUGGAAGCCCGCGGCCCAACCGCGGAACUGCUUUGGGAACUGCUUUGCUGGAGUAUGGGAGGGGUAAGCGGAAUUCCUGGUGUAGCGGUGAAAUGCGUAGAUAUCAGGAGGAACACCGGUGGCGAAGGCGGCUUACUGGACCAUAACUGACGUUGAGGCUCGCAAGCGUGGGGAGCGAACAGG